GAAGCUUUAUGCUAAGAUAAGAAUAGGUCGGGAAUCGCCUUCCUUAACUGCUUUUCUGUACAUACUAGCACUACUACUGGAAUCUGAGAUUCUGUACAUACUAGCACUACUACUGGAAUCUGAGAUUCUGUACAUACUAGCACUACUACUGGAAUCUGAGAGCCUGACUUAGUUACUUGAUCUAUCAUCUCUCCCUUAGCUUUAAGCCAUCAUCAUAAGUCUUUAAACACUAAACUAAUCUCUGAAUUGAACUGCAAUCAUCAUCACAUGCUUACACUUUGAUCAACACAUGAUCGCCUUACUAAAUACAUUAUCUACCUCUAUUUCCUUACAUACUACUAAUAUCACAUUCACACCUUCAUGCUUAAUUUUAAGUCAAUAAACUUAAAUUUCUAACUCGCACUGUUGAAGCCCAUUGAUUUAUUCAGGCACAACUAUCCCCAUGAAUACAUAAUCUAUUCAAUCUGGAUAUAGUAUCCCAACUUAUCUAUUGCUAAACUCCUGGGUUCAUGCUUCUAACUUUGGGUCACAUGCUAUCAUAGGAUUUUGAGAAGAGAUCUGAUGGCAUAUCUAAAUCUGGGUUUGAGAACGAGUUCUCAUGAUCAUGAAUGAGAUCCAUACAACUUUGGAACAUAACUUAACUGAUGAGAUACUAUCUUAGACAGCCAUAUCUUUAGGACUUGAGAUUCACUAUUUCUGUUACCUUGAAAGCAAGGUGGAAUUAACAUGAGUGAAGCAUGAUGAGAAUCUACCUGAGUUUUCUUAGAAAACUUUUCUGUAGCACGAUCUGAGACAUGAGAAGGGAAACUGUUCCUAAAACAUCUUAUAGCUUCCUACACAUAAGUGUGGUGCACAACACAAGCAUGUAAAAGACUCUACUAGAUGCUGCUUUCAGAUUUUGUAGGACUUUAUUGAACCUUAGGCUCUGAUACCAAGUUUGUAACUCCCCAAUUUUUUGAAUCGGAAUAUUACACGGUGCUCAUGACCCCGAAGGACCAUAAAAAACCCAUGACUAAUAUCUGUACCUGUAAACUGCAUAAUAUAUGUAUAAAAUACAGAAAACAUGAAAAAUAGGCCAUAAGGUUCAACUGAAUAAAUUAUCUGAUAAGAACAAUAUCUGAAAAUGGUAUAACAAUACCAAAAAAAAUCUAAAAUAAUUGUCUGACAUGCCAUAGUUUGGAAAGCCUCUAAACUGUCUGAAUAAGGAGUUGAUGGGAUAUGUCCCCAACUAACUCCAUCUAGCAACUGAACUAAAAUAGUAAAUGAAGCAAUAAUCAUAUCGUCCUCAAAUGAGAAGGACUCACUGGAAACUCUGAAUACUGGAAUGCUAAUGCUGAUCUGGAGUUCGUGCCUCUUAACCUAUGGUGUAACAUAAGAGAAAUCACCAUAGCGCAAAUGCGUCAGUACGUCUGAAUAUACUGAGUAUACGAGUGAGGUAGGCUAAAUACAAAGGGUAAUAUGCAUGAACAAUACUGACUGAUAUGAAUGUGAGAAUACAUACAUGCAUACGUAACUGUAACUGAACUCGUAGAGAUAUUGAGUACUAAUUCUAAAUACUGAUAACAUGAGUGUACUGAUACUGAGAUAAUGAAUAGAUGAACG
rnacentral:lncRNA from 1 species